rnacentral:rRNA from 1 species
GACGAACGCUGGCGGCGUGCUUAACACAUGCAAGUCGAACGGAAAGGCCUGCUUUCCCUUGUGGAUUGCGGGUGCUCGAGUGGCGAACGGGUGAGUAACACGUGAGUGAUCUGCCCCCAACUUGGGUAUAAGCCUGGGAAACUGGGUCUAAUUCCCGAUAGGACUGCAGGGUGGUGCCUGUGGUGGAAAACGAUUUUCUAGUGGUUGGGGAUGAGCUCGCGGCCUAUCAGCUUGUUGGUGGGGUAAUGGCCUACCAAGGCGGCGACGGGUAGCCGGCCUGGGAGGGUGGACGGCCACAUUGGGACUGGGAUACGGCCCAGACUCCUACGGGAGGCAGCAGUGGGGAAUAUUGCACAAUGGGCGGAAGCCUGAUGCAGCGACGCCGCGUGGGGGAUGACGGCCUUCGGGUUGUAAACUCCUUUCGACCGCGAGGAAGCCACCUGGUUGGAAGGGUGGUGGCGGUAGUGGUAGAAGAAGCACCGGCUAACUACGUG